rnacentral:rRNA from 1 species
AUGCAUGUCCUGCCCCCACGGUCAGUUUCUUUCUUUCCUUCUUUCUGUUCCCUCUCGCAACCCAACUUUAUCCCAUUCGUGGUCUACGUUGUCCCGUCGUUUAUAUGUGUGAUUACAAAGUUGCCUUCUUCAUGGAGAAAUUUCACCACUAUUUUAAAACAUACUCCCUCCGUCCGGAAAUACUUUUCAUCAAAAUGGAUCAAAAUGGAUAAGCAUACAUCUCUUUUUAUUUAUUUUGAUGACAAGUAUUUCCGGACGGAGGGAGUAAGAGACAAAAAAUAUUAUUUGAAAUUCGGAUAG